rnacentral:lncRNA from 1 species
AGAGCAAGUUUAACCUUUUAAAGAGGAAGGAUCUGUUGCUUGGCUACCAGGCAACAAGGUAACGAGUGGAAAUGGGGAACAGAAAUGGAGAAAGGAGACCUAGAAGAGGGGCGGUGGAGAAAGGGCAGGAACCCCUCAUGGGCUGGAGCCUGCAGAGGGAGGGAGAAAGUGAGCAGCUUCCAGGAGGUGUGGGGCUUUGAAGAAAGGGAACAGAGAGCAUUUGAAGGAAGUGUGGGUGUAAUGCAGGCCACCGUCUCCAGAAGACUCAGGAAGGCUACUCAGAGAGGGGUCCCCACAAGGGAUGAGGGACAAGUUGCCUAACCCUGUGGCAGACGGCUCUGCUUCUCUUCAUGGUCUUGAAUACGGACCAGGCCGUCCUCAUGGCUGUGGGAACAUGACACCAACCCAGAGGCCCUCUAGAGUGCUUUUUCUGGUGACAUCCUUGCCUAGCCCUUCCAUGUGUCUGAUCUACUCUAAAAAGCCUAAAACUAAGUGAGCUGGUCUACUCAGCCACCGCCUUUCAGAGGAGGAGUUCGUUUGUCUCCAGAGGAGGAGUUUUAUGAGGACGAUAUUAAGCGACGGGGUCUAUGUUGCCAGGCCGGUCUCCAACUCUUGGGCUCAAGCUCUCCUUCUGUCUUGGACUCCCAAAGUGCUGAGAUUACAGGCGUGAGCUACCAUCCCUGCCCUGCUUGCUCCCCCAAAAAAACUACUUCAACAAAAUGUUUACGUGUGCUUACUGAUGUUUCCUCCCCAACUACUGAAUUUAUCCUUUGCUGAGCAUUACUUGAAAUUGUCAAAAGCUGGAAGUAAUGCAAAAAGAUGACUGCUUGUCCUCUUGAUGUUCUACUGUGAUGUGUCUAACAGGCCCACCAAAAUUUAUUUCAUUCACUAUAAGAAACGAGUCUUUGCUUGCCUUCAUAUUGACUAUAUAUUAGAGCCUGGAUUCAUUAACACUUAUUAACAUUACAUGUUAAUUUGUAUAUUUUUGUCUAGUAAAGAUGAAAAUUUUUGCUCUUUGGUAGAAGAAUAAUUGCGAAGGCUACAGUUUUGUUGCACUGUAGGAUAUUAACUGAUUUUGCAUCUAAUUUAAUAAACUUAUUUAUGCAUUCUUUUCCCAACUAACUAUAUAAAUCUCUGUCCAUCAAAUGCUCUUAAGAACCGUCUUUAACAUACUGCUGGUUCCCUUGUUAAC